rnacentral:tRNA from 1 species
GAGCACAUGGCUCAGUGGUCAUAGGCGUUAAACCAGUAACCAAAAGGUUGCUGGUUCAAACCCUGCUGUGGUCA